rnacentral:rRNA from 1 species
GACGAACGCUGGCGGCGUGCUUAACACAUGCAAGUCGAACGGUAAGGCCCUUCGGGGUACACGAGUGGCGAACGGGUGAGUAACACGUGGGUGAUCUGCCCUGCACUUCGGGAUAAGCCUGGGAAACUGGGUCUAAUACCGGAUAGGACUCCGGACUGCAUGGUCUGGGGUGGAAAGCUUUUGCGGUGUGAGAUGGGCCCGCGGCCUAUCAGCUUGUUGGUGGGGUGAUGGCCUACCAAGGCGACGACGGGUAGCCGGCCUGAGGGGGUGACCGGCUACACUGGGACUGAGAUACGGCCCAGACUCCUACUGGAGGCAGCCGUGGGGAAUAUUGCACAAUGGGCGCCAGCCUGAUGCAGCGACGCCGCGUGAGGGAUGACGGCCUUCGGGUUGUAAACCUCUUUCAGCACAGACGAAGCGCAAGUGACGGUAUGUGCAGAAGAAGGACCGGCCAACUACGUGCCAGCCGCCGCCGUAA